rnacentral:rRNA from 1 species
UACAGAGGGUGCGAGCGUUAUCCGGAUUUAUUGGGUUUAAAGGGUGCGCAGGUUGUUUGGUAAGUCAGUGGUGAAAGUCUGUCGCUUAACGGUAGGAUUGCCAUUGAUACUGUUAGACUUGAAUAUGGGUGAGGUAAGUGGAAUGUGUAGUGUAGCGGUGAAAUGCAUAGAUAUUACACAGAACACCGAUUGCGAAGGCAGCUUACUAAUCCAUCAUUGACGCUGAGGCAUGAAAGCGUGGGUAGCAAACAGG